ensembl:lncRNA
CUCUGAUAGGUUAACCCUGGGCAUUUAGCACUCUGAUAGGUUAACCCUGGGCAUUUAGCACUCUAAUAGGUUAACCCUGGGCAUUUAGCACUCUAAUAGGUUAACCCUGGGCAUUUAGCACUCUAAUAGGUUAACCCUGGGCAUUUAGCACUCUAGUAGGUUAACCCUGGGCAUUUAGCACUCUGAUAGGUUAACCCUAGGCAUUUAGCACACUAAUAGGUUAACCCUGGGCAUUUAGCACUCUAAUAGGUUAACCCUAGGCAUUUAGCACUCUGAUAGGUUAACCCUAGGCAUUUAGCACUCUAAUAGGUUAACCCUGGGCAUUUAGCACUCUAAUAGGUUAACCCUAGGCAUUUAGCACUCUGAUAGGUUAACCCUGGGCAUUUAGCACUCUAAUAGGUUAACCCUGGGCAUUUAGCACUCUAAUAGGUUAACCCUAGGCAUUUAGCACUCUGAUAGGUUAACCCUAGGCAUUUAGCACUCUGAUAGGUUAACCCUAGGCAUUUAGCAGUCUGAUAGGUUAGAUGGAAUUUUAGCCUCGUGUUUUAUACAUGAUCAAGGGUACAAGGAUGAAGGGAGGGAGUAAUUGAUUCUGGACAAGGUUGAAGGGAGGGGGUAAUUGAUUCUGGACAAGGAUGAAGGGAGGGGGUAAUUGAUUCUGGAUAAGGACAAGGAUGAAGGGAGGGGGUAAUUGAUUCUGGAUAAGGACAAGGAUGAAGGGAGGGGGUAGUUGAUUCUGGACAAGGACAAGGAUGAAGGGAGGGGGUAAUUGAUUCUGGACAAGGAUGAAGGGAGGGAGGUAAUUGAUUCUGGACAAGGACAAGGAUGAAGGGAGGGGGUAAUUGAUUCUGGAC